ensembl:lncRNA
CUGUAUUCCUGUACGCUUGCAAAAUAAGACAUAGAUACUUUAGUCUGCUUUUCCAGAAGGUUCUGUUUCUAGUCACACUUCACUACAGAAUAGUAGAUAGAUGCAGUGCAGUUUUUACAGAGCUGCCUAUAUAUAACUCAGAGCUGAAACAAUGGAGGAGUUACAUUUCUAAGUCUUGACAGGCUAGUUAAGUUUGCAUUGCAGCUUUAGCUAGAACCAUGCUAUACCUUGUUAGACUUACAAUGGUUUGUUUUGUUCUUAACCUCAAUUUUCAGGAUCAGUUGGAGAGGAAAACACGCACUAAGAGAAACUUAAGUGAAAUUCCAAACAGGGUGACACAGCUUUCUCAAGAAAUAAAUGAACAUUUGCCAGGCUGCUGUAAGGAAGUAUUGCAGAGAGCCCUAAAAGCUGAAAUGCAGCUUCUAAGGAUCCGCUAUCAAAUAUAUCAACAGCAUUGCUGGCAGACUUGCAAGUCUUUAGUGGAAGAAAAGACAUUCGAAAACGGUUCUAGCUCUGAAUCAGAAAAAUCUGUGUGCCAAGCAUCAUUAGCUCAGAAUAUUGAACCUUCUUCACACCCUUUUGUGACAUCACAAAAAAGCAUUGGUGAGAACAGUGACCCUCAGAUGUCCCUUUCCUACAAGAACACUGGGGAGAAGAAAUAUGAUCUUGUGGAAAAUAGUAAGUUAAGUGUCUGAAAAACUCAAGACAUCUUGAACCAUGAAUUGCUUAGUUUGAACUAUAGCUACCCAAGGUUAAAUACAAUAUGCAGAUGCAGCCAACUUUUGAAUACCACAGAUUUAAUAUUACAUGGUUGGUAAAUGUGACUUCCCUUGUUUCAUAGUGUCCUGAAACCCUUCAGUAAUGUGAUUUACUGACAUUGCUAGAUUGGGCCACUCCUCCAUUGACACGCUAGUGGACAGC